rnacentral:rRNA from 1 species
UACGAAGGUGGCAAGCGUUGUCCGGAAUUAUUGGGCGUAAAGAGCUCGUAGGCGGUUUGUUGCGUCGGCUGUGAAAUCCCGAGGCUCAACCUCGGGUCUGCAGUCGAUACGAGCAAACUAGAGUGUUGCAGGGGAGACUGGAAUUCCUGGUGUAGCGGUGAAAUGCGCAGAUAUCAGGAGGAACACCGGUGGCGAAGGCGGGUCUCUGGGCAACAACUGACGCUGAGGAGCGAAAGCGUGGGGAGCGAACAGG